rnacentral:lncRNA from 1 species
UCCAAAUUCUCCGAGGCAAAGUUCGAUGGUGGAGUCCAGGGAGGGAAGGUGUUUUUGUAGCAGAGGGGGUUCUGAUGAUUCGGAGAGAAGAGGGGUUGAAUCGCCCAUUUGGUUUCGGAACCAAAGAACUUGAGCCGAUAAAUUAAGGUUUAUAACUUUAUAUGGAAUGAGUGAUAUAUUAUCUGAUGAAGGUUUAUAUAUAUAGGAGGAUAUGACCAGCAUGCCAUGGUCAGAACUCUUAUCUCUGUGUUUAGUUAAGAUCUAUCGUCCGUGGGCCUUUUCUACUAUAUAUAUGUGAAUAGCAUACAUCAAGCUGUGAGCCGUUUAAUCAUCUUAAAUUUUAAAUUGUUAAACGAUCGGACAGCUCACGGUUUGAUGUAUGUUAUACAACUGUGUAAUGUGUAUAGCAGCCGAACCCAUCGUCCAUGUACUGUAUAUGGUUUUGUUUACAUUUUUUUUUUUUUUGCAGGUGGGAGAAAACAAUAGUACUUUGUUUUAGGAGAAAAAUAAAAUUACAAGAAGCUCUAAGCAGCC